UGCCCUGCAGUGGGCCUAGACAGGCUGAUGAUGAUUGAUGAUGAUGAUGAAGAAGCCUCAGCAGUUCUUCCAAUCUCACGAAGGCCGAUAAUAUUCCAUAACAGUAACUUAGUCUUCUGCAUAAUAAUAUUCAGCCUUACUCUUGCAUGUUGUCGAUUCGGUCUUACCAUAAAGGUCAUAACUUGCGAGUAACAUGAAAUCUUAUGAUAGAAAUAAAGUUGCACAGCCCAGUUAUAUACAGGUGGUAAUCUCGGCACCAAUAUUCUGGUAGGGUUAUGACGAAUAAUUGAUCCUUCUAGCAAAACUCAUCUCAAGCACCGAAUUCCUUAGGGGGCACAUGUGUAUAGAUGCAAUCUAACACAUUCGACAACCAGUCAUCAGACAUGACGUAGGCAAAAUUGCGCGCCGCGUUAAGCAAAGGUCCAAUGAGCCCGAGCCAAAUGUUAGAAACUACUAUUGGCGUCCAAUUUUCAGGCUUACAGCAAUCGCCAAAAGAUAAAGGAAACCCAAAUCUUGCAUAUUCAUACGAAUAAAUUCAGACGAGAAAGAUGAGGUAAAAAAACGUACGACGGCUGGGUUUGUCAUGCCUUAGCAGCGCAUGGCAUCGCUUGUGCUCCCACGUGGGGAAUUACGGUAUUAUGAAGUAGAUGGCCAAGGCCCUUCUGCAAAACCUCCAAUUGCGGUUCUUUCGUUUUGCUACUCCCCUCUGAUGAGACACAGUAUUUAUCCUGGCAUUUUUCGGAAUGAUUCAUUAUUUGGAAGUUGGCGCUAUGUUCGUGGGCUUCGCUUGCGUUUGCCUUUUCUUCUCUUACUGUCCAUCAUUUACUGCCCAUCAGUUUAUUAAUGUCUUGGCGUAAAACACCACGGACCGUAUCUUUGAAUUUCAGCUGGCGUUGCUGUAUAUAAAUGACUAUGUAGGUGGAUAGCUAUCACUGAGGCGCUGACGGCCAGUGUUUCGGAAGCAACAUUUGAGGCGAUCACUUCUUGGGCGACCACUUUCAGAGGCGAUCACGCCGUAUCUGUGCCAGUAUACGGCCGAAAGAGUUUCUGGCUCAUUGCCAAGCUGAUGAUUAUGAAAUGAUGGUGUACAGAACAGGCCAAGGUUUCGUGCCCGCAUCGCUUUCACCGCGCUGCUCAUAUACGUGUGUGUUGCUUUUUUUUUUUUUUUUUUCAUCGGCACCGGGAGCGAACGGCACGAGAUCGAGGGGUUCGUGUCAUGCACGUAUUUGCCGGUCAAAGACGGUGCCGUCCUUUCAUGCGUCAUGAACUGGUCAAGUCUGGGAUGCACCACGUAGGCCGACUUUACGAAUCAAGCCAGCAAGCGACCUGGAUCCCACCGGGUUCUCUGGGGUCACUACGCCAACGCCCAGCUUGGCGCGGACACCCGGACAGCAGUCAACAUGUGGCAGGACUCCCAGCCUUAACCCUUCCUCUAGUGCAAGCCUCCAAGUGGCUGGAUUACAGCAGCGUGCUCACCUGAAGCGGCGAUGAUGGCGAGGAUCUCCCCACCAUGGACUUAGAAUGGCUGUCCCUUGAUUUGGAGCGAGACAUCCGAACAGCCACUGAGCCCGGCUGGAGAGGUUCAGCUACGCGUGGUUACGCAAACACAAAAAUAAAAAGGCUCAACACAGCGCUGGCCAUAGGGCCAGAAGAGGACGACGAUGGCGGUGUGUAACGCCGAUGACGUGCAAGACGACUCGUUCUUCGUGUACCACUAGUCGAACUAAUAGUGCUAAUGGUGUUUGCGGAGUAGUUCCUGGGUAGCAUAAGGAGAGUUUUGGGGGGUGUAAUCUAAAUAGAGCACCGAUAACAGGCGGCUUACGAAGUUAUCGUGUUGGUAAUGGCAGAGGAAAUACGAGUGUAAUGUUGGUGGAUGACAUGAAUAGCCCAAAGAACGGAAAACCACGCACGGCGGGAAAAUGUGAUCUUCACAGCAGCCUAUUCUAUUAGCGUACCGUGUUUUUCACCAAGGUGGUUCGGGACCCUUUUAGCCCUGUAAUGCACAACGCACAUUCUAUGUAGCACGCCGUUUGUUACGUCGUGAUUUAAAUGUGCGCGUGUGGAACACAAGCAGCGAUACUAAUUCACCAGCCUAUUUUUAUGUCCACUACUGACGGUCUUCUCCCAACGAUCCCCAAUUACCGCUAUCCUGUGCCAACUAUUUCCAACUUGCGCCUGCGAAUUUUCUCAUCAUCCCGCCUCGACUGCACUUCCCUUUUCUUGGCACCCAUUUGGUAACUCUAACGGUCUACCUGUUAUCCAUACGCAAUACAUAGCCUGCCCAGCUCCAUUUUUUCUAAUUAUGUCGUUUAGAAUAUCUGCUAUCCCUCUUUACCCUUUUGUCCAAAGCGCUCUUUUCCUGUCUCUUAACGUUACACCUACCAUUCUUCGUCCCAUCGCUCUUCUCGCGGUGUUGUUCUCGAGCUUCUUUGCUGAGUCUCCAAAUGUCUGCCCCAUAUGUCAGUGCCGAUAAAGCACACUGAUAGUAGACGCUUUUCUGUGAUGGUGUGAAGCUCCCAGUCAGGACCUGGCAGUGUUUGCCAUAUACACUCCAACCUAUUUUCACUCUUCUGUCAAUUUCAAUCUUUUGGUCAGUGUCCUCUAUGACUUUUUACAUAGUUAAACCGGCUCCUUCACAGACUACAGUAUGAGUGGCGAUCCUGGAAGUUUGUUCCCUUGCCAGAGUAUUGAUCAGAAUCUUUGUGUUCCGCAUAAUCUUCAGCCUCACUCUUAUACUUUCCCUGUUAAGGUCCUUAAUCAUUUGUCGUAAUUCCUCCCCAGUACUGCUGCACAGCUCGUGUGCAAGCGGAACGUUGCUGAGAUGUUCGCCGUUUAUCCUCACUCCUAAGCCUUCCCGUUUUGAUAGCUUCAGUGUUCUUUCCAAGCAUGCAGUGAAUAACAUUGGAGAGAUGGCGUCUCCUUGCCUGACCCCUUUCUUUAUAGGUACGUUUCUACUUGUGGAGAACAAAUGUAGAAUGUUUUAAAAUGUUUCCCAAGAUCGUCACGCGGGCCUUAUGUCCUAAUUGAUUACGUCAUGCCUCUAUGACUGCUGGUAUGUCUGACUCAAAGCAUUUUCAUAAUCUGUGAAAGCCUUUUAGAGGGGCUUGUUGUACUCUGCACAUUUCUCCAUUACGUUAUUGAUGACAAGGGGGUGAUAUAUUGCAGAACAACCCUUCCUGAAGCAAGCCUGUUUUCUUAGUUUACUGAAGUGUGACCCUUAUUGGAAAUUAUCUUCGUGAAUUGGCUGGAGCCAGCUGUAGUUGGGAUUAGCUUAGGAAUCUAAUUAGAAACUGGAGUGAUAGCUACCUCUACUCAUACAAUCUAUUGCUUUUAGUAUGAAUGGGCGCUCCAUGGCAAUAAAUGAAGGAAAAUAUAGGAAUUUUCUUAGAUGCAGAACUGUGUUUAUGCAUUACAAGGUUAAAUACUCCCCAAUACUAUUGGUGCCAGUGUUAAAUGUUUCGAACAGCGAACUCUGCAAAGUAAGUAUUCCAGAACUUCAGCCACCAGCGGCCUCGUUAGCGGACAACGAAGCCUGAACUGACGCUUCACUUCUACUGUUAUUCAUAGCGCAUCUUCAAGACCCCAGGUCGAGUACGUUGAAAGAAAUCUCGUGACAUGGACAUCUCGCCUGAACUGGCGCCUGAGUAUUGGUUGUGCAGCAGGGAAAGUUACCCGUGCCGUUGGCAUAUUGCGUGAGCUCGGCAACCAUCGUAUAUCGAAUAAAGUUUAUUUUUCCAUAAAGAAAUGGAGGGAGGGCUGAACAAAAUGUAAGAUGUUGAAGGUCCCGGCGCCCGUUUAUGUGACAGCCAGCCGUGGUGACCAGGGGAAAAAUGCACUUAGCAAUGCAAGUCAGUCGCAAUUCUAUGAGUGAUACAACCGGCAUGAUUAACAUGGAGGGAUGCGAAAGAAUAUGAAGGGCAUAGCGAUGUGAAUGAGUAAUUUGAGAGAACCAUACUAUAUGUAGACAAAAGUAUGUGUCCUAUAGUGGAACAAAAAAUGUGCGUAAAGUUAUUGAUUUACGUUUUUGUUUUGCAAUCUCGUUCUCAUGCAGAUAAUUCAAAGAACAAGGGGGAAAAGCUCGAAGCAACUGCGUAGAAAAUUAAGAGCCACUUAACUGUCGCAUAUACUUUCGGGCUGUUUUGCAGUUUUAUCGCGUACUUGGGUGCUCCGCCCUCUAUUGGAACGAACAGCUGUGCGCUUAUGCUUAGCCGAAAGCUUAAUUCCUUCAAGCUGUUUCAUACAUUCUACCUCAACAAUCGAAAUUGCUCUCUCCCGUGCGGCUACCGCGGUUCGGCUCUUGCAGAAGUUCUUCACAAUUUACGAGUUACCGCUGAGAGGGUCUGAAACUUUUAAUUUCCCGGCCAGCGGAAAUUCUGACCUGCAUACUUUCGAUAUACUUCCGAUUCCUGGCAGAUAUUAUUUGGUUAAUGAUGAAUUCGAUAUUUUUGUGAUUCAAAACAAUUUCAUCGUAUUUUCGUAAUUCCGACUGCAUAAAGUAAAAGCUGAGCAAAGUAUGUAAAGUGUGUAAAGUGUGUAAAGCAAAGUGUGUAAAGUAGUACACACGCACACAUACUUUACCUUGUUUCAGA